AAAUGAAAGACUGCGGAGAGACAUCAGUGAGAAGGAGAGACAAAACCAGCAGUUGACUCAGGAGGUCUGCAGCAGCCUCCAAGAGCUGAGCAGGGUACAGGAAGAGGCAAAGUCAAGACAGCAGCUGCUCUUACAGAAAGACGAGCUGCUUCAGUCCCUCCAAAUGGAGCUUAAGGUGUAUGAGAAGCUGGCCGAGGAGCAUCAGAAGCUACAGCAAGAGUCCCGAGGUGAGGCAUGUGGAGGAGGCCAGAAGGGGCAGGAUCCUUUCAGCAACCUGCAUGGUCUCCUGAAAGAGAUACAGGUUCUCCGAGACCAGGCAGAAAGGAGCAUUCAAACUAACAACACACUGAAGAGCAAGCUGGAGAAGCAGCUAUCACAGGGGUCAAAGCAGGCCCAGGAAGGGGCCCUCACUUUGGCUGUUCAGGCCCUGUCUGUCACUGAGUGGUCCCUUCAGUUGGACAAACACGAUGUCAACAAAUGUCCUGAGGCCAGCGAUAAUUCAUUUGAUCUAUUUGAAUCUACCCAGGCAAUGGCACCUAAAUCAGCUUCUGAGACUCCUGUCCUUUCUGGAACUGAUGUUGAUUCCCUCUCCUGUGACAGUACCAGUUCUGCCACCAGCCCCUCUUGCAUGCCCUGCCUGGUUGCUGGCCGCCACCUGUGGGCCAGCAAGAGUGGCCACCACAUGCUGUGCCUGAUUGAGGACUAUGAUGCCCUCUAUAAGCAGAUCAGCUGGGGCCAGACACUGCUUGCCAAGAUGGAUAUUCAAACCCAAGAGGCUCUGAGCCCCACAAGUCAGAAGCUGGGACCAAAGGCUUCAUUCUCUGUGCCUCUGAGCAAGUUUCUCUCCAGCAUGAACACAGCCAAGCUGAUCCUGGAAAAAGCCUCCAGGUUGCUGAAGCUCUUCUGGAGGGUCUCUGUCCCCACCAACGGCCAGUGUUCCCUUCACUGUGACCAGAUUGGAGAAAUGAAGGCAGAGAUCACCAAACUACACAAAAAAUUGUUUGAACAAGAAAAGAAGCUGCAGAACACAGCAAAACUUCUGCAGCAGAGCAAGCACCAGGAGAAAAUCAUCUUUGAUCAGUUGGUCAUCACCCACCAAGUCCUUCGGAAAGCCAGGGGAAACCUGGAGGCCUAGAGCUGCCCAUCCAGGAACAUCCAGUCCCAGCAGACCGGGCUCAUGAGAAGAGCUUUCAGCUAAUAAAGCUUGUGAUCCUGAG
rnacentral:lncRNA from 1 species